rnacentral:rRNA from 1 species
UACGGGAGGCAGCAGUGGGGAAUAUUGCACAAUGGGCGAAAGCCUGAUGCAGCUAUGCCGCGUGUAUGAAGAAGGCCUUAGGGUUGUAAAGUACUUUCAUCGGGGAGGAAAAAACAAAACUAAUAAUUUUAUUUCUUGACGUUACCCGAAAAAGAAGCACCGGCUAACUCCGUGCCAGCAGCCGCGGUAAUACGGAGGGUGCUAGCGUUAAUCAGAAUUACUGGGCGUAAAGAGCACGUAGGUGGGUUUUUUAAGUCAGAUGUGAAAUCCCUGGGCUUAACCUGGAACUGCAUUUUGAAACUGAAAUACUAGAGUAUCGUAGAGGGAGGUAGAAUUCUAGGUGUAGCGGUGAAAUGCGUAGAUAUCUGGAGGAAUACCUGUGGCGAAAGCGGCCUCCUAAACGAAUACUGACACUGAGGUGCGAAAGCGUGGGGAGCAAACGAGGGAUUAGAUACCCGU